AGAGGGAAAGUGAAUUCCUGUAAAACUUCAAUUAGUAGCCCAGGCUUGGACACAUAAUUUUAGGUAGCCAACUACCCAGUUUUAUACAACCGAAGAACACCCUACUCUGCUGUGAUUGGCUGGUACUCCUUUUUUAAACACUGUUUUUAUUGAACAUCUUUAGCUUUGCCGGCAGAUUACCCCUCCGUUUUGGGGUAGAGUUGCUACCUCAAGCGAAGGAGUUCAAGUAUCUCGGGGUCUUGUUCAAGAGUGAGGGUAGAAUGCAGUGUGAGAUGGAUCAACGGUUUGGCACCGCUGACUUAAUAAAUCAGACUUCUACAGAGUGAAACAUGACGCAGAAUUUAGUAGCAGACUUUUUUGGGAACCUCAGAAUUGCGUCUCUGCUUUUUGCAGAUGAUGUGGUUCUGUUGGCUUCAUCACACCGUGACCUCCAGCAUGCACUGAGGUGGUGUGCAGCUGAGUAUGAAGAGGUUGGGAUGAAAGUCAGCACCUCCAAGUCUGAGGCGAUGGUUCUCUGCUGGAAACCGGUGGAUUGCCCCCUUUAGGCUGGGAGUAAGUUACUGCCCCAAGCAAAGGAGUUCAACUAUCUCAAGGUCUUGUUCACGAGUGAGGGUAGAAUGGAGCAUGAGAUGGAUCUCAUAUCGCCCAGCCCUAAUUGGUUGUACAAGAUAAAGAAAUCAGCAGAUGUACGCUAGAGCUCUGGGAAAAUUGGAAAAUGAUGAUGGCAAUUUCUCAUUGUUUUUAUGACUUUUUAUAGCCAUGAAGACAAAAUUAAAAAAAGACAAAAUAUCUUUAGUUGCAGCUCAAUAUCCAUCAAAAUUUCGAAGCCGCAGCUCUUUAAAACAGCGUCUCGUUUCAAGCAGAAAUCACCCACACUGGAUGGUCUACAACACUGAGCUGGUGGCCUGGACUCUUUCUUCUCUUUUGAGUCGACUUCAGCGACUAAAGGAGCGCAGAAACCCUCCAGUCCGGAUCACUUUGGCCAAGUUACUCUUUGCCCUCUGCGAGAGAGUUCAUCUGUCAAAGCUCAUUGUCACUUCUUAUCAUGGAGGCACUAAAGCAUGUCACUUCCUCUCUAUGGAGAAAAACAAUGACAGAGAAAUGACAAGAGAAGCUGUGUGUCCUCUUUCCAAAGACAACCCAUUAUGCCUGCACCCAUUUCUUUGUGGAUUAAAGGAAUUGUAAUCAGGGAAAAGCUCACACAGUAAACACAGCGAUAUGAAUGUAUGUGCACAUGCUGUAUGUCUGGGUCAGUGUGUCUGUUUGGCUGGGCGGGGCGGGUUUCCCUGAGUUAAUGAAUACUGCAUGAACCGUACGUGCAGCUCCAAGUCUUCACAGCUGAAAUCUAAACUAGAAACUCAGCAUUAGCCGUUCCUCCACCACUCAAACAAGAGCACCACUCUGUUCCCCAUCCAAAAUCUCCUCUGCCAACACAUCGCUUCGGCCUGAGAACACCGUGUACCGUCAUUCCUUCUAGUUCAGGCUACAGGGGGCCUUAAGAGAGGGAAGGACGAAUAAGGUUACACGCGGGUAAAAUUAGCACACGAAAGGAGAACACGAGGGCGAAUCCCAGCUCCUGACAACCCCUCCUCUCUCUAGGGCCAAGUCCAGUCCUGUACAGAUUGUUGCGUAACAGGCCUAGCGCACACGCACACACACACACACACACACACACACACACACACACAGAGGCAAAGGAAUUCAUUGUCCUGCUGCUUUUCUGCCCACACCCCCUUCAUCUAUGUGUGGCUGCCUUUAUAUAACGCUGCCCACGUAUGAGAGCUCUGCGGGAGGUGUGUGCGCUUCUGUAGCCAGCUGCCAUGUUGGUUUUUAAUAUCUGGGCGCACACUCAACCGCCCCUCCUGUGUUAUGAGAUUAAAAAAAAAAAACUGGGUGGGCAAAGGGGCGUCAAUGUUCCCAGUGAAAGGGGAGUGAUGUUUGUCAACAGUUAAGAUUAGCACCACUGACCCAGAUAUGAGCCGCCUGUGAAACCCACUGCCAUGUCAAUGAAAGUUCAAGACCACUGCAGGCUGAUAUCAGUGUGGGAAUGUUUCAGAGCGAGUACUAAUAUAUAUCUUAUAUUUAUGCUUUAUUGACAGUCUUAAAAAUAUUUUUAGAUUAACAAGGGGUCAGAUGACUGUGUAAGUGUAGUAGUGAGUGAAACCCCAGAGAUGUAUCACCCAGCUCUGCAGUCUCUCUGCACAGUGUAGAGCUUUUAGCACCACAGUGGAGUGUUUUAGCAUCUUUCAGCUGAUUGUUUUGGUUUCCCAGCCCAAAACGUAAUCUAUAUCAAGCAUGCUGGCCCAAUCAAUGGCAUGGCUUACUGGGACGCUUACAGGUCCAGUGUGUAGGAUUUAGGACCUUUAGGACCUGCCCAGUUUGGUUCGGUUCAAUCAAACUCAAGUUUGUUUGCCCUCUAAGUGCGGUUUGUUUGGGCAGGUGUGAACACAGCGAUCGCACUCAGGUGUGCACCAAAACAUCUGGACCAAGACCUUCUUGAAGAGGUGGUCUUGGUCCAGUUACAAACCAAUGUGUUGUGACCUGGAUGUGAACCAACUGCAGUCACAUGACACAUUGUUUGGGUUAAACAUGAGCAUGUUACAGUCCUGGAGGAUUAUUAAUGUGCACCUCCUCCUGCACUGCCUUAAUAUGCACAUUCAGCACAUCCAAUGCAUCAAAACAUUGUUUUCUAGUUGGAGCCGCGCCUCGUUUUCAAACUGUAUGGUUUGACUAAAAUGAACAAUGACAGCAAUAUAGUCCACGAUGAGCAGCGCUAAAAUCAACCUGCGUAGUUGUCCCUCCAUUGUGACAUUAGAAAGUGUCACAUUUAUCUUGCAAUGUACUCUUCUUCAGCGUUUGGUUUACUUCCUGGAUUUUUCCCACAUGGAAAUUCUGACCAAUCAAGAGCAGCUUUCUCACACAAGGCAUUUGAUCUGGUCUGUUUGUAAAUGCUGCCGUGAGAACAUGAACCAACUCUAGGCAAUUAUACAACUUUGUGACAAAAUUAGUCCCUGAUUCAGACCAAAGCGAGACAACUCUAGGUCUGAAAGCAUCCUCAUUGUAUGACUCGUCAAAAAAAUUCUGUUUUUCCUGUUCAUUCUGUUUCUAUGGUUCAUGUCCUGCUGCUGUGACUUGGAUGGAUAAAUAAAUUAAUAAAUGAGUAUUAAUUAUUUUUAACAUAGUACACUUUCUACAACCCUUCGUAAAACUGUAAUUUUGUUAUAUUUUCAAACCAAAUUCUGGCACCCCAUCGGCUCAUUUUCUCCAUAUGCAUUACUGUCAGUACAUAUUAAGAAAACUGUCAGUGGUCAGGUUGCAUUGUGGGUAAUGUAGGCUCCAGAUUUUGAUAAAAAAGAAGGAUGUGUGGAAUAAAAACAGACGAUAUCUUUGGUUCUGCUGCAUAAAUUCUGAUCAUUUGUUAACUGUUCAUCCUGAGUCUGACACUAACAACGUUCCCAUCAAUGUAUUUUUAUGCACAUUUUGAAGUUAACGUUAUUAAAGCUGUACAGAAACUGCAAAAUUCAGUAAAAGUCAAUUGUGCUUGAGGUAGUUUUUGGAAUUGUCGAAAAAGAGUUGAUGCAAGAAACAGGAUAUGGAAAUGCACUGACUGAGCAUUUGAGUGACAUCAGUGCGCUCAGGGUCCAGGCUGUGUUCAGCCCGACAAAACAGUUGAGUGAGUUGAGCACCCUGUUGUGUUACGCAAGUGCACUGCCCUUUAAUGCAGGGCUUUACUGGCAUGGGAAACAUACGUUCACAUUGCCAGUUCAAGUGUGAAAUAAAGACAAACACUGUAUUUACGGACUGCAGUGUUCACAGCUCCACCUUUUAGUACCAGAUCUGUGUGCUAGGUACCCCAACAGAGGGGGGACCAAACUUGGGGACAGACUAGCUAACCAGUGAUAACCAGAGGGUGAGCAUUACGAACUAUGCUUCUGCAUGUUAACGUGUCUAGCCGGCAGUUUCACACCAAGUCGAAAAUAUUCUCGCAGAUGAACAGUUAACCACUGACAUCUCUCAGCAGGACACAGCUACAAGACGAGUACGAUCUCACCUGAUUACUACUAAUUUCUCUUCUCAUUUUCAAAGAGCUCAGGGCGGGACGAUUUGCAGUUUUAUCAUGUGUAGUGUGUCAUACUGUGAAACAACCACUUCUCACAAGGUCCAGUUUUUAACCUCUCCUGCCUGAGUUUGACGAUAAGUAUAUUUCCAGCCACUUGUUUUCAUGCAAAGUUUACUGGCAAUUUUUUAAAAGAGCUGAAAUAUUACAGGAAAGUUUUUAAGCUUGGAUGAGGUGGAAAAUCUGGUGUAUCGUAAAGAAAAUACGACAAAGUGCAUUAAGAACAAACUUAUAUAAAUCUUGAAGCGUGUGACCUUAAACACUGAAGAGAUGAAAACAUGAGAUCUGUGUAGAGCCACGAGGAGACUAAAAUGUCCCUUAAAUCAAUAAAUUAAAAACAAACAUAAGUCAUAUUUACAUCAUGAUUUCCACAAGUGUCGCCCUUUACCUAUGAAAUGUUAUAAUGACACCUAACUGUAGAGUUAGCGUCACCAACUAUUGAUCUUGAUGCGCCUGACUCCUGAUAUUCACAUGACAGUGGAUGAUAAACACAUUACUUCACAUUUUAUUUUGAUUUUUUUCUGGAAAUGUGGAUAAAAUUUGUGCUCAUGUCUCGACUAUAAUGAAGGUUUAAGGGCUGAAAUGUCAUGUGACUAAAAGGGAAAUGCAGAUGAAGCCAGAGUGUGUGACACUUCUUUCCUAUUUCCAAUGUCUUGACGAAUAUCUGUGUUCUACGGCACAGUGUUUGAUCCCAGACGUUUGUCUCUAACCCCUCCUGCCCAACCACCAUGUUAAGGUUCUUAAAGAUCGCACUGACUGGUCAUGUUUUUCACAUGUAGUUUGACAUGUGUCUCACCACGUCACGGCUGAAUUAAAUGCACUUAAGUCACCUAAUGUGACAGAGUGGCCAUUUUGUAGUUUCGCCUUUUUGCCCCUGUGAUGAGCUCAUGUGCUUCUAAAUUCAUUAAUUCUGGCUGCAAACACAUUAAAGACAUACUGAAAUGCACAGUCUCAUUUUGGUCUCUGCUUUAAAUGUUUGGCUACCUCUUGGUACACGUCAAUAUAUUAAAGCAGUUUUCAGUAUUUAUAAAUCAAAGUCUGCUGACUCAUCCUGCAGUCUUGUUUGGACCUGCAGACCAGAAACCAGCAGCCUGGACUCUCUAAAGGCAGGACAAUGAUCAGUGUGCAUAUCUGGAUAAAAACAUCAUCAGUUAUCACCCUUUAAACUUACGCCGGGUGCACAACCUAUUUUUCCUGUUUUAACAGAGUGUUUCCCCAGCGCAUUCCCCACCCCCAGAACAACGCCACAAGGUUCCGUUGUAGAUGGACCUGGCCAGAUGCGGACGGCUAGCUAGUGUGCUGUCGGCGAGAGCUGUUAGUGAAGUCAUCUAGCAGAAGAGCCAGCAAUAUCUUCCUGCUAAGAUCUUUCAUGUUGACUGUCACUGUACCAAAUGAACUGAGACGAGUUGAGUAGUGUACUACUGAAAGAGCUGAUAUAUAGGCGUGAAAUAGGCUAUGGAAAUGAGCGCAAAAUUCGAAAAUAUAGAUUAAUUAUCAACCGCAUAGAAAUCAAGCUAUGGUCAACAAUUACUUUUAAUAGUGGAAAAAAAGCUUACUCUUUUUUUCUUUUGCAUAAAUAAAUGAGAUAUUGUUUGUUUACAACUGCGAUUGAAAUUUAUUUCCUACUUCCGGCACCGUAUUGCUCCGUUUUUCCCAUGUUGUCAAUGCCCAAGUAGGAAAAAUCCAACACCUCCACAGUCCGAUGGUCAACGGAACCGCUACCGUGCUGCGCGCUAGUCUGUUACCAUCCGUCAUUUUCACCUCUAUUGGAAUGAAUGACUUCCAAUCCGUCAAUGCGAAAGGUUGUGCGCCUAGGGUUAGGCUGCUUGACUUGUUCCUUUGCACAGUACAUGAUACUCUACUUUCCUUAAAAUGCACAGCACUUUGUUGAAAUUAUUAAAUUAUUGUAAUUUUGACUCACAAUAAUCACAUGUAUCAUAUUUCUAGCUCCUGUCCUGUACUGAGGGUCACGUCAGUUUGAAGCGACUCAAACGCUCAUCAGCCAACAUGGUCCUGACUCACAGUGAAUAACGGUAAAUAUCAGCCAGUGAAUAAAAUUAAUUAUUGAUACUUUUAGGACUGGACCACAGAGAAUAUGAAUAAUGAAUAACAUCAGCAAUGAAAGCUACCUCACUUCAACUGUCACUGUGCAAUGAGAAAAUAUAAUGUAAGGCAGAUUCUGAGAAAAGAUUAAAACCUUUUUACAGAUAUUUAUACUGUAUUUUUUAGGAGAGAAAUUCUUGAAUAAAACUGUGCAUGCAAACCACAUAUAUGACCCUAAAGUCUGAUCUACCAUCUAGCCAUA